UGGCAAAGACCUCAUUAAAUGUGAGGAAAGGGAAGCUCAGAGAUAUAAAAUGACUUGACCAAGAUUUUAGAUAAGAGUGGCAGGGGUGAGAUUAGAACUCUGGUUUUUCUGAUGCCCACUCCAGUAUUUUUUCUUUGACAGCAUCCAAAGGCUCUAUUGUGAUGCUGGUUCUCCAGAACAGGUGUAAUAUUUGUUAGUGAAAACAAUGAAUGAUAUCUAUGUAACUAAAAGAACAAGCUUUCUCUAGACCUUCCAUAAGGUGUUUUAGUGGAACUUUUAUUUGGUUAAUUUAAAUUAUGUACAUUGUGACAUUAAACUCACUAGAGACCUACUCUAGUUUUGUCUCAGGGAAAGGUUUCCUCACAGUAACAAUGACACAAGCAGAUACGGUACACAACCAGAUAUUACUCAUGUGCCGCACCUUAAAACUACCACAGAACAAGUUUUCUAUUCACAAAUCCGGAAACACUUCAGAGUUAUCUAACUCUUACAUCCUGAGAAUAACUAAUUACAGCUGAUACAUAAUUCCUUUAUUGUGUACAGUGUUUUUUAUAUGUAUCACUGGAGUCUCGAAAACAAGUUUUGCCUUUAGAUUUAUGAAUAUCUAUUGUUACUUAAUUUUCAGAAUCGAUAAAUAAGGGGGAACAGUCGUAUACACACUUUCGCUCAUUCGCUUAUAUUCAUUCAGACAGUCCUAGUGGGACUAUAGCAGGUUCAUGAAAAGCUGGACCUAGAGGUGUGCCUUUUUAGGCUCUGCUUGGUGAAUCGUGCUUUUGAGCUGUUUUCGACCUGUAGACACUGGUGUCCUCCCUGGGCUGAGCGAGUUCAAGGAGAAAUAGGUGGCUGCAGGGAAAAUGCAAGCUGGAUAAGCUCUAUUUUGCCCCUUCAAUAGUUUCAGAACUAUUUUUAACCGUGAAGGCCACGAUUAUCUUUUGCCCUUUGCUCACUCUGCCCUCCUCCCCAUAAGGAAUCUCAUAAUAGUCUUCCUGUUUUAUGUAAGCGAUUUAAUUAAAUAGUUAUGGCAUUUACAAUUUUUAUGGAAGGGCUCUGGCGAUAACUCAGUCGCCACAAGCCGCUGAAGGGCCAUCACGGAUUAAGAGGCAGGUUUCCCGGAGGGCUCCACCGUGGGGCAAGUGACUGAAGCGGGCAGGUCAGUUGGGAAGUCCUUUACCCUUUUCUAUGAACUCUGUGAUAGCCUGGCACCCCACACCCCGUCAGACAAGUGACUCGAGCGUACUCUCUGCUGCCUCCGCCAAACCUCAUGGGACUCCACCCGGGGGGUAGCGGGGUGGGCGGGGGAAGGAGGCAAUCAUGCUCAGUUCCGCCGGCGAACACGUGCAAGGCUUGGCUGGGUUGCAGUGCCGUGGGGUACAUGGGGCGAAAUGAUUUCACAAACGCCAAGAGGAAGGAGCGCGGAAUAUACGUCACUUCUAGGAAGCCUGGAAAAUAUCAAGCCGCGGGGUCUGCCGGGAAGAGCCGCUCACAAGCCAGAAGAACUGCAAGGCACAGGGCCACUCCGCGCACGCGCAGUGCGCUCUUCCUGCGCAUGGUUGCGGUCGAGAGACUCCCUCCGCCAGCUGCCGGAUCUAACUUGCCGGCCUUCUUACUAAGCCAGUCUGCGAACUCUGCGCCGCCGUGGCGCCCGCCUCUUGUGAGUCCCUUUCCUGAGGCCUCUCUUGGCUAGAUAUGAUGAACUGUUUAUUGAAUUAAGGACUCUGCUUACUUGGAAUGGAAAUUUUGAAGGACCCCUCAGAGCCACCUAAGCAACCCUAUAGGGCAGAUGGAUUAGUUCCUAGUUUAUAGAUGAAGAAAUGGAGCUACAGUGAGGUCAACCGGCUUUUGCCCAGAUUCCCAGAACACAUUGGUGGUGGAGAUGUAACUCAAGCCAAGUCGACUGGAUCCAGCUGCCUUUGCCUCUCUUCUGAUGUUUCUCAGAGUCGUCUGCUUUGGCAUCUCCCCGAUUCUGCUCCGGCCCCAUCUGAUGUCGUCUCCACACAGCAGACUGAGUGAUCUUUUGAAAAUAAACUGGGUAACGUCUGCUGCUCAAAACUCUUCGGUGACUUCCUAUAGACUGCAAUGAAAUCUAAUAAAAUCUGUCAUGGCUUACAAGGCCAGGGAAAACUGACAACUGUUAAGAAGAAAGGCAAAGAUGAAGCCAAAUACAAAAUCACCCAUGAAAACUAUUUGAAAAAUAUAAGUAAAGUAGAAGAAAAAUAGGUCUUCAUUUCAAGAAAAUGAAGAAAGAGCAAUGCUGUUUUUCAUAUUCCAGUACAAUUUGAUUCACAUCAAAAUGUUUAUACCCAGGAAUGGAAUUGCUGAGCCAUAAGUGAACUUUUGGUCAUCACUAGAAAGAAUGUGCCCUGCAAUAGCAGUGAUGAGUCCGACUCAGUUCCCGAAAGAGAAAUGCGAAGACUCAGUCAAUCAUAAAAUCUUCAGGGGAAGUUCAUCUGGAAGAAGUCAACUUUUUCCUAUCACACACUCUUGAUGGCUGCCAAAUACAAGCUAGAUGUCCAAACAGUAAGGAUACAAAGUAGUCAGUAUCAAUAUAAUCAGAAAUAAAUUUGGGACACUUUUUUAGGAGCUAGCACGAUUUGCGAAUGCAAAAUUAAUUUUAGAAUUUCUAUGAAUUUUAAAUCAAAUACA